rnacentral:miRNA from 2 species
ACAUAUGUCUGUGCUCGCUC